rnacentral:rRNA from 1 species
UACGGGGGGGGCAAGCGUUGUUCGGAAUUACUGGGCGUAAAGGGCGCGUAGGCGGCUCGUCAAGUCGGGCGUGAAAUCUCCGGGCUUAACCCGGAAGGGUCGUUCGAUACUGUUGAGCUAGAGUGUGGAAGAGGCAACUAGAAUUCCGUGUGUAGCGGUGAAAUGCGUAGAUAUACGGAGGAAUACCUGAGGCGAAGGCGGGUUGCUGGGCCAACACUGACGCUGAGGCGCGAAAGCCAGGGGAGCAAACGGGAUUAGAUACCCCAGUAGUCC